rnacentral:tRNA from 1 species
GGGGUUGUAGCUCAAUGGUAUAGCGCUUGCCUAGCACGUAUGAGGCAGAGUUCGAUCCUCAGAACCACA